rnacentral:rRNA from 1 species
UACGUAGGGUGCAAGCGUUGUCCGGAAUUAUUGGGCGUAAAGAGCUCGUAGGCGGUCUGUCGCGUCUGCUGUGAAAACUCAGGGCUUAACCCUGAGCUUGCAGUGGGUACGGGCAGACUAGAGUGCGGUAGGGGAGACUGGAAUUCCUGGUGUAGCGGUGAAAUGCGCAGACUAUCAGGAGGAACACCGGUGGCGAAGGCGGGUCUCU